rnacentral:tRNA from 1 species
GGACCUGUAGCAGAGCUUGGAUAAUGCGCCUCGCUUCGGAUCACUGGAGAGGUAACGAGGAGAUCCUGGGUUCAAAUCCCAGCGGGUCCA